UACGGAGGGUGCAAGCGUUAUCCGGAUUCACUGGGUUUAAAGGGUGCGUAGGUGGGUCUGUAAGUCAGUGGUGAAAUCUCCGUGCUUAACAUGGAAACUGCCAUUGAUACUAUAGGUCUUGAAUUUUCUGGAGGUCAGCGGAAUAUGUCAUGUAGCGGUGAAAUGCUUAGAUAUGACAUAGAACACCAAUUGCGAAGGCAGCUGGCUACAGGGAUAUUGACACUGAGGCGCGAAAGCGUGGGGAUCAAACAGG
rnacentral:rRNA from 1 species